rnacentral:misc_RNA from 1 species
GUAUAGGUUUAUAGGCAUGAAAGCCAUUUAAUUACGUUCUAAGACAUACAUUGGUUAUAUGAAGAAACAUAGACCUAGAAAUGUAAAGAGAGGCAGAGAGCCAAUCCUCAAACCCGAAUGGCUAGCAUUCAGAGAGAGACCCAGGUCUACAAAAGUGCACAGGUGGAGAUAUAAAGAUGACAAGUGUGCACAUGCUCCCUAGAGAACCAGCAUCAACUCAUCAGAUUUAUUUCAAUAAUGAUCCUUCCGCAGGUUCACCUACGGAAA